rnacentral:lncRNA from 1 species
AGACUAGAGCCAGGAAGGCUUGUAUGAACAGGGUCAGAUGUAGCAGAAAAAUCAAAGUCAUUUUUAUGAAACAAAAAUGUUCAGUGGAUAAUUAACAUAAUUAAAAACAAAUCACCAAUCUUUGACAAUAUGAAGAUUUCAUAUUGAGUUCUAAACUUCUGCCCUCUGAAAGAGCCAUCUUUUGUUAACAUUGGUCUUAUCUCUAGUUAGCAGGAGCUGAGUGCUGGCUGUCCCUUCACAUGGAAUACCAUCUCCCUGCUCCCUACUGCGAUCCUGAUGCCCACAACAACACCAAGAUGUGCAGCCCCAAGGCUCCACAUAGCUGCCUCCACUCUGAUCCAUGUGCCUAAUCUCUAUAAGCAUUGAGUUUACAUCUCUUGAUUCUAGAAGCAACAGAAAGAUGUCAAUAAUUUAUUCUGCAGUCUUGGGCCCUUGCUAGUGAGGUCUUUCUGUUUAGGGUACUCAUCUUUCUUUUUAUCUAGCCUCUGCCUUACUGCUUGGGCACACUGCCAGACCAUAAUUUAGUGUUGUAAUGUUGGAGUGAACACUCUCUCCUGAAUCCUCUUAGCUGUUGGGAAGCUGCACAAGCCAUUCUGUGUUAUGAUCUCUUGUUUUCUUUCCUAGUAGACUAGAGUAAUCUUAAAGGAAGAAUGUGCUAUGCUCACUUUAAGUCUAGCAGUGAGCAAACUAUCACACUGUGAUGUGCCUGUGUACGA